rnacentral:snoRNA from 1 species
AGCACAGUGUGGUCUGCAGUCGGCCGUUCCCCUGGCUGGGCUGUUAAUUACACAGUGCGAGAGGAACUCUGCAUCUGGCAUCGUUGGCCUCCGUGCUGCCCCCGUGCCUGAGAGGCCUGGUAUUUCUGCAGAGACAAGC